rnacentral:rRNA from 1 species
UACGGAGGGGGCAAGCGUUGUCCGGACUUACUGGGCGUAAAGGGCUCGUAGGCGGCCAACUAAGUCGGACGUGAAAUCCCUCAGCUUAACUGGGGAACUGCGUCCGAUACUGGAUGGCUUGGAUUUGGGAGAGGGAUGCGGAAUUCCAGGUGUAGCGGUGAAAUGCGUAGAUAUCUGGAGGAACACCGGUGGCGAAGGCGGCAUCCUGGACCAAUAUUGACGCUGAGGAGCGAAAGCCAGGGGAGCAAACGGG